rnacentral:rRNA from 1 species
UAGGGAAUCUUCCGCAAUGGGCGAAAGCCUGACGGAGCAACGCCGCGUGAGUGAUGAAGGUCUUCGGAUCGUAAAACUCUGUUAUUAGGGAAGAACAAAUGUGUAAGUAACUAUGCACGUCUUGACGGUACCUAAUCAGAAAGCCACGGCUAACUACGUGCCAGCAGCCGCGGUAAUACGUAGGUGGCAAGCGUUAUCCGGAAUUAUUGGGCGUAAAGCGCGCGUAGGCGGUUUUUUAAGUCUGAUGUGAAAGCCCACGGCUCAACCGUGGAGGGUCAUUGGAAACUGGAAAACUUGAGGGCAGAAGAGGAAAGUGGAAUUCCAUGUGUAGCGGUGAAAUGCGCAGGGGUAUGGGGGAACACCAGUGGCGAAGGCGACUUUCUGGUCUGUAACUGACGCUGAUGUGCGAAAGCGUGGGGAUCAAACAGG